AGAAUCAACGCUGGCGGCGUGCCUAACACAUGCAAGUCGCACGAGAAAGGGACUUCGGUCCUGAGUACAGUGGCGCACGGGUGAGUAACACGUGAAUAAUCUACCUCCGAGUGGGGAAUAACUGAGAGAAAUCUUAGCUAAUACCGCAUAACACUUACGAGUCAAAGCAGCAAUGCGCUUGGAGAGGAGUUCGCGGCAGAUUAGUUAGUUGGCGGGGUAAUGGCCCACCAAGACGAUGAUCUGUAUCCGGCCUGAGAGGGCGCACGGACACACUGGAACUGAAACACGGUCCAGACUCCUACGGGAGGCAGCAGUGGGGAAUUUUGCGCAAUGGGGAAACCCUGACGCAGCAACGCCGCGUGGAGGAUGAAAUCCCUUGGGAUGUAAACUCCUUUCGAUCGGGAAGAUAAUGACGGUACCGAGAGAAGAAGCCCGGCUAACUUCGCGCCAGCAGCCGC
rnacentral:rRNA from 1 species